CAGCGAGCAGAGACGGUCCCCAGGGCUUCUCCAUCACUGGCUCUCCCCAGGAAGCAGCCUCAGCUGGCGUGCUGGGGACCGGAGCUGGCCAUGAGGGAGGGGUGGACAGUGGAGGAACCGGCUGCCCAGCUCAGCAGGGAUUUGUGGAGGCUGACUUGCAUGGUUUCGGGUUUGCCUUGCCUGGAAGCCUGGCCAGGGGAGGCUCAGGUUUCUCGCCAGCUGGCCUUCCUCCUCCUCCUCCGUGUGAGUGACGCCCCAUGGCCAUGAUGUCAUCACCUCGUACAAACAGAAGGGAGACUGGCUUGGCGGAGCUGGCGGCUGUCCCAUGCUGAGUGCAGCAGUAAAUUUCAUUUCAAGGCUAUGAUUAGGCAACAGCCAGCUGAGAGUGAGGCGAUGCGCUGCAGCCCCGGGGAGGGGCCCAGCUGGGGCGGGGCGGAGAUGCAGUCGUCCUAGCAACCGGCAGAGGUGGACCCCGCAUUUCUGUGGCUCAUCACCCUGACUUCAUCCAGACUCCCUGUAUUUUAUCUCAUAGAUUUCUCAUUCUGAUGUCUGUCUCCCCUACUGACUGUAACCUCUUAAGGCUAUAGUUCAUGUAUUCAUUCAACUGGUAUUUACUGGGCACCAGCCAUGGGCUGUGCAGACGUCAGGGAAAUGGAUGGGGAGUGACCCCUCCUUCCUGCAGCGCAAACCAUCCUUUAAUAUGAAAGAGACAGAGACCAUUGC
rnacentral:lncRNA from 10 species